rnacentral:lncRNA from 1 species
CUUUCUUAAGUGGAAAGAAAACUUGCACUAAAUUAAUUCCACAUCCGUAUUAGCAAUAUUCAAUUAAUGGCCAAAUUCUUUCCAUCCAAAUGACUGCUACUCUAGUUCAAACCUUCAUCAUCCCUUGCUUGGACAAAUAUAACAAUAAUAACUCAUUUAUAAAUUAAUAUUUGCAAUAUACUUUCCACACAACAGUCUAACCUGUAUUGUGAAUAUUACCUCCAUUUUAUAGAUAAGGAUACUGAGAUUUAGGGAAGUUCGAUGACUUGCCCAGUUAUACAAGAAGUGUCAGAACUAGGAUUUGAACCUUGGUAUUUUCUGACUUCGAGUCCAGUGUUAUUUUUAUAAAGCCUUGAAAUAGCCUCUAAAUUUGUCUCCUUGCUUCUAGUCUCUCCCCUCUCUAAUUAAGCAUGCUAAAAUAUUAAUGGAAUUCUAGACUUGAAAUUGAGAGUGACAUUAAAAUUCACCUCAUUCAACUCUAUCAUUUUGCAGAUUGAGAUUCUGACACAAGCAAGUUAAGGAAUUUGUUCAGAUCACAAAGGACUGAGAUGGGACUUGAACGCAAGUGUUCAGAAGAUAGUCCGGGAGCCCUGCACCUCUAUCACCUACAAUGUGGAAGGGAUACCUGUCUUCACAUCUCUGAAAGCAAACUGGGAAUCUAGCUGCGAGGGGAUGUUACAGAAAGACCUAGAAGAACUGAUGCAGACUGAAAUAAAGCAAGCCUUGUAGGAUAUAAGUAGAAUACA